GUCCCAGACUCCUACGGGAGGCAGCAGUGAGGAAUAUUGGUCAAUGGGCGGGAGCCUGAACCAGCCAAGCCGCGUGAGGGAAGAAGGUACAGCGUAUCGUAAACCUCUUUUGUCAGGGAACAAAGGCGGGGACUAGUCCCCGGAUGAGGGUACCUGAAGAAAAAGCAUCGGCUAACUCCGUGCCAGCAGCCGCGGUAAUACGGAGGAUGCGAGCGUUAUCCGGAUUUAUUGGGUUUAAAGGGUGCGCAGGCGGCCUGUUAAGUCAGCGGUAAAAGCCCGGGGCUCAACCCCGUCCGGCCGUUGAAACUGGGGGCCUUGAGUGGGCGAGAAGAAGGCGGAAUGCGUGGUGUAGCGGUGAAAUGCAUAGAUAUCACGCAGAACCCCGAUUGCGAAGGCAGCAUGCCGGCUCCACACUGACGCUGAGGCACGAAAGCGUGGGUAUCGAACAGGAUUAGAUACCCGCGUA
rnacentral:rRNA from 1 species